rnacentral:pre_miRNA from 7 species
UCCUAGGGACCGCUAUGAAGCCUUCUGUUGCUGGUCCUCUUGAAAGACCCCCGAAGGGACCCUCACUCAAGUCUCGGGAUAAUAGCGGACCCCCAAGAACUCACGAGAGACC